UUACGGCCAUAUCACGUUGAAACACCGGUUCCCGUACGAUCAUCGAAGUUAAGCAACGUCGAGCCUGGUCAGUACGUACACUGAUGAGAGCUUGGGAAUAUCAGGUGCUGUAA